rnacentral:pre_miRNA from 1 species
AAUGAAAUUGCUGGGUCAUAUGGUAACUCUAGUUUAACUUCUUGAGGAACUGCCAGGCUGUUUUGCAAAGUGGCUGCACCAUUUUACAUUCCCACCAGCAGU